rnacentral:rRNA from 1 species
UACGGAGGGUGCAAGCGUUAAUCGGAAUUACUGGGCGUAAAGCGUGCGUAGGCGGUUAUUUAAGUCAGAUGUGAAAGCCCCGGGCUUAACCUGGGAACUGCAUUUGAUACUGGAUGACUAGAGUGUGGUAGAGGAGAGCGGAAUUUCCGGUGUAGCGGUGAAAUGCGUAGAUAUCGGAAGGAACACCAGUGGCGAAGGCGGCUCUCUGGACCAACACUGACGCUGAGGUACGAAAGCGUGGGUAGCAAAC